CACGUAGGGCGCAAGCGUUGUCCGGAAUUAUUGGGCGUAAAGAGCUCGUAGGCGGUUUGUCGCGUCUGCUGUGAAAACUCGGGGCUUAACUCCGGCCUGCAGUGGGUACGGGCAGACUAGAGUGCGGUAGGGGAGACUGGAAUUCCUGGUGUAGCGGUGAAAUGCGCAGAUAUCAGGAGGAACACCGGUGGCGAAGGCGGGUCUCUGGGCCGUAACUGACGCUGAGGAGCGAAAGCGUGGGGAGCGAACAG
rnacentral:rRNA from 1 species